rnacentral:rRNA from 1 species
CUACGGAGGGUGCAAGCGUUGUUCGGAAUCACUGGGCGUAAAGGGCGCGCAGGCGGUUUGGUAAGUCAGAUGUGAAAGCCCACGGCUCAACCGUGGAAGUGCAUUUGAAACUGUCAGACUUGAGUACUAGAGGGGAAAGUGGAAUUCCCGGUGUAGAGGUGAAAUUCGUAGAUAUCGGGAGGAAUACCGGUGGCGAAGGCGACUUUCUGGCUAGAUACUGACGCUGAGGCGCGAAAGCGUGGGGAGCAAACAGGAUUAGAAACCCUAGUAGUCCC